rnacentral:rRNA from 1 species
GACGAACGCUGGCGGCGUGCUUAACACAUGCAAGUCGAACGGAAAGGCCCUGCUUUUGUGGGGUGCUCGAGUGGCGAACGGGUGAGUAAAACGUGAGUAACCUGCCCUUGACUUUGGGAUAACUUCAGGAAACUGGGGCUAAUACAGGAUAGGAGCUCCUGCUGCACAGUGGGGGUUGGAAAGAUACGGCGGUGCGGGAUGGACUCGCGGGUUAUCAGCUUCUUGGUGGGGUAGUUGCUUACCAAGGCUAUGACGGGUAGCCGGCCUGAGAGGGUGACCGGGGACAUUGGGACUGAGGUACGGCGCAGACUGCUACGGGAGGCAGCAGUGGGGAAUCUUGCACAAUGGGCGGAAGCCUGAUGCAGCAACGUCGCGAGCGGGAUGACGGCCUUCGGGUUGUAAACCGCUUUGGCCUGUGACGAAGCGUGAGUGACGGUAAUGGGUAAAGAAGCACCGGCUAACUACGUG